rnacentral:lncRNA from 1 species
AGCAGAAGCCAAAGUAUGAAAGAACCCCUUUUUUUAAAAUCAAACUUUUGAUGGAGGGUCUUGAGUCCUUCCUUAGGUACUGACUGAGGGAAGCCAGCACCCAGGUGAGCUUCAUGCUCCUUUUUCAGUCAUUGGAAGCCAUUAACGAGGCUGCAUGGUGUGCAUAACUAUGAGCUGUCUGUGCAGAGACUGCCUUAAUACUACAUGGGAUGCCCCCUUUGAGUUACUGUUCCAACAGUGAAAUAGAACAGCAGAGACCUAGCCAUUCUCUCUCACCAGAAUCUCCUCAGUGUCAAGGAUGUGCCUCUGUGAAACCCUGGAUAGAUUUCAAGGAGCGACCUAAGGCUGGAAGUGGAGAGAAGUUAAACACUCCCUGUGGAAACUGAGACCUGAUCCUUAGCUUCAUUUCUUAAGGACUACUUGCUCUUGGGGUUUUAACUUUUUAGUCUGUUUUCUUGUUGCCAUAACAAAAUACCCAAAGCUGGGUACUUUAUGAAGAAAAUGGUUUUACUUAGCUCACACCUGGAGUUUCAAGGUCAUGGCACUGUCUUCAGCUUGCCCUGGCAAGGCCCACAGGAUGGAUGGCAUCACAAUAGCAAUAGUGUGCAGGAACAGGAGAUUCCACUGUGAGACAGGAAGCUGGAGGGUGAAGAGAGCCAGUCUUGUUGUUUUAAAACAACUCCUCUCACAGGAACUAACUGGGGUACCUUGAGAAAAGAACUAUGUUAAUCCCUUCCCAGUGAUGUAACUGCCACCCACCAGGCCCCCGUUCUAAAGGUUCCUCCACCUCCCACACUGAGGAAUCAGCUUCUAGCACAGAACCUUGGGGAUCCAUGGAGAGGAUAUAGACACCUCAGAGCAGAUAAGCAAGAACCUACAAGUUUUCAUCUCCAAAGGCUGCACAGCCAUUUUUGGGGUCACAAUGCCAGAUUAAUCAUUGAAGUUCAAGCAGAUCCAGGCAAUUUCUCUUGCUCACUGGACAGCUCAGUCUUGACCUGCUCUGGGAUCCCUCUGCCCUCUGUUUCCAGCCAGCAGAUCCUUGGCUCACAUCUUUGCUCUCAACUGAGGGAUGCUCAGGAC